UUAAUUUCUCCCUUCUCUCUCUUUUAUCGGGCAGCGUGUUGGCCCUAUGUCUCUUCGUUGCCUCAACUUGUUCAUCACGGCGUUGGGGGAGCUGAGGGAGUUGGCGCCUUGACUUCUUCGUCGCGUCACUCUCUCUCUCUCUCUCUUUUUCUCCUCACACAGCUCCAAAAUCCCUAGAAACAAACCAUACUCUCUCUUUCUCUUUGUCUCCUCACAUUCCUAUGUUUUCUGCACUUCGAUGUCGAGCAACCAUAAGAUCCACACCGUCAUCGGAAUCGACCUCAACGACAAGAUGCUGACAGUGCUUGAGAAGAACAUCUUAUGGGUGAACCCUGACUGUGGGCUCAAGACUCGUAAGUACACUAAGGUGAAGCCCCAAUCCUCACAAACAUGGUUGCCAGGACAAACUCAUCCGCAACGAACUUGCCAAGUGAAUGGUAUUGUUGGAGUUGAACAUGUUGAUUCUAAAUUGAGAGUUAGUCCUGGGAGUCCUUGCUUUAAAGGCCUCCCCCUGCAUUCUCUCUUCAAUAUGUGCUUUAGACUCCUAAUUGCGAUGGCUAUGGCCUCUCCUUGCAUUCUCUCUUGUAUUUUUGGUCCAAUGAUGAAUAAUGUGAACAAGGAAAACUCAUCAAUGAUUGGCUUAUUGGAUGGGUUUUAGCUCAGUUUUGAAAAUAUCCAUGUGGGUAUUUCUUGUUCAUAUUCAUUCAGGCGAAGAUUUGAGAACAAGGUUAGAGAACUUCUUCUCUUAAGCUAUGGUUAUUAAGAAAAUUACAAAAGAAUCCAGGAUGCAAGUGGGGAAUGCUUCAAAUUCUUGAUUACCAUCGUUGGCGCAUAAAAAAGGUGUUCCCUCACAAAAGGAGAAGACAUGCCACAUGAUGAAGACUUUAAUAUUACUCACUUUUUUAUACUAGCGAGGGAUCCUAGAAUUCCAAGAAAUGACAUGGCUUAUAAGUGGACAAAGUGGAAGCCUUAACAUAGUGUGCAAGGUGGCACAUGGGUAUAAUACAAGGAGAAUAGCACAACAAUAGGGGUGGAUAUAUGGAUCUAGAUAUGCAUAUCGACCCGUUAAGCCUGUGGACCUUGGGGAUAAUGAGUCUUUUUUUAAAAAUAUGUAUAGCUAUAUCAAGUUUUUGAGUCCAGCCUGUUAAGCAUGCAGGCCUAGUGGACUUUAUCCGAAGAUUUGCGGACUACCCGCAUAACCCGCUUAAGUCCAUUAUGCAAGUAUUAUUAAUUUGUUAUGUUAAGAUUUUGAUCUUUAAUUUAGGUUUUUAUUGUUAA